GUGAUUGUGGGGGAUUUUGGGAUAGUGGUGGUUCCUCGGGAUGGAGCUGACACAGAAAGGAUAAUGAACCAUUCAUCUGUGCUCCGAAAGCAUAAGGACAAUAUAAUCGUGGUAAAGGAUGAAAUCGAUCACCCGAUGUCAGUCGUCAGUUCCACCAAGAGCAGACUGGCUCUUCAGCACGGCGACGGUCACGUGGUGGAUUACCUGAGCCAGCCCGUCAUCGACUACAUCCUGCAGAGUCAGCUCUACAUCAAUGCUUCUGGAUAGGGUGGGGAAGUCCACUUCCGAGCCGUCAGUCAUCCCUGUCUGUCUCUCUGUGUGUAAUCUAGAGUAAAAUCCUCCUGUGCUACCACUGCUUUUCCAUGUAGAGGAGCAUUAAUCUGUCCUCCCCUCUUACUCGUGUCUCACUGGGAUGUACAGCACUGUGCCUGAGGGAUCUGCUCCACCAAUCAGCUUUAAGGGACUGGGUGGGCUUAGGUGCCCAAUAGGAGGAAGAGGAGAGAGCCUCGCUAACACUAUGACAGGAAAAGAGAGUGUUUUUGAUUGAAUUAGAUAAUUCAUUGCCU